UGUGUUUUUUAUACCACCCUGAAUGCACCUAAUUACUUCUGAUCUCUGAAGCUAAGCAAGACCAGGCCUGGUUAGUACUUGCUUGGGAGACAGAUAAUAUAGGUUAUAUAAUCAUAU
rnacentral:rRNA from 1 species